GUAACUACAAGCUAGGUUUCAAGAAGAAAGUAUAAACCACUGGUAAAAUAGUAAUUACACAAUGUGCUAGGUUAUCAGGAGUUAAAGCAGUUGUGGUUGUGUAACUUGCGAAGGAGACCACUGAUAUUUGGAAAGGUGUGUUUAUUUUAUUUAUUUUUAAAGACUCUGCAAACCUUGAAGGAGUCUCACACAAACAUAAGCAUAAAAUAAAGAAACUAACAAACUCAAAUAAUUUCUCUUUUUAGCAUUGACUCUUAUAGUGGCACAUGAGCUUUGAGUCCUCAAACCAGCUACUGUCAGCCACUGCAAGAGCAGGAACACAGAGGGUACCGGAGCAGAGCAGGCGGGACAGAUCCUCCUCCAGCCCCAGGCCUGUGUACAGGGUGGCAUCAGUAUACCACUGACUCGAGUGUUGUCAGGUUUUCAUAAUGUUGGUAUCCAAUUAGCAACAUUAUCACUUCUAUUUCCAAACUUGGAAUAGGGACUGACUGAUUUGUUAAAGGAAUACUAUAAUGUUGGCAAUGCAAACAUAUAUUCCUUACACUAUAGUGCCCUAGUCACCAUUUAGGUGACCAAGCCCCCAUGA